rnacentral:tRNA from 1 species
GCCACGGUGGUCCAGCGGUUAGAACGCUGGCCUUGUAAUCCUGGGGGGGCCUCGGGUUCGAUUCCCGGCGGUGCCA